rnacentral:lncRNA from 1 species
UCAAUAGCAUAGCGCCCAAGAGCCGGCUCUCUUUCUCUCCUUUUCAUGCCUUUCAUUUCCUUAUGUUAACAGAAACCAUAUUGCGUGUCGUGUCGUGUACUGUCUGCGUUUGGCCCCGAAGAUUAUAAAAAUUAAAUGGAGCCCUCACGUGCCAUAUGCCGAACUUAACAACCAGUCUGCCAGCUGGUACGAGACUUCUGCCGCCUGCCAUUGCCACAGCCGCAGCAGCAGCAGCAGCAGCAAAGGAAUCCAAAAGGGCGGCACCAGGAGACACGGAGUGAGAUUGAGUCUUAUUAAACAAUUAAAGUUUUGGUGAGUUUUUCUUUGUACAGACUCCAUUAAUAUUUUUUUGGCAACUUUUGGACUUAAAUCACACCACUUUAAGCCACGUACAAAUACGUUCUCCAUUAUGGCUGCCACGGGGGCUGCUGCUUCAUUGUUGCUGCUUCAUAUUCAGUUCAUAUUGUGAUAUAUCUUCAAACAGCAACAAAUGACUUAU